UAUGAUCCAGAGUACCACGGGACACGUGAAACCCUGUGGGAAGCAGGAGGGACCACCCUCCAAGGCUAAAUACUACCUAGUGACCGAUAGCGUAUAGUACCGUGAGGGAAAGGUGAAAAGAACCCCGGGAGGGGAGUGAAAUAGAACCUGAAACCCUGCACUUACAAGCUGUGGAAGCACAUUUCUUGUGUGACCGCGUACUUUUUGUAGAACGGGCCAACGAGUUACGUUAAGUAGCAAGGUUAAGCACUUAAGGUGUGGAGCCGUAGCGAAAGCGAGUUUUAACUGAGCGUUCAGUUACUUGACGUAGACCCGAAACCGGGCGACCUACCCAUGAGCAGGAUGAAGCGAAAGUAAAAUUUCGUGGAGGUCCGAACCCACGAGCGUUGAAAAGCUCGGGGAUGACUUGUGGGUAGCGGUGAAAUUCCAAUCGAGCCCGGAGAUAGCUGGUUCUCCCCGAAAUAGCUUUAGGGCUAGCCUCAAGGUGAGAGAUACGGAGGUAGAGCACUGAAUGUCCUAGGGGGUAUUGCACCUACCGAAGACUAUCAAACUCCGAAUGCCGUCAUCUUAUACUUGGGAGUCAGACUGUGGGUGAUAAGAUUCAUAGUCGAAAGGGCAACAGCCCAGAUCGUCAGCUAAGGUCCCUAAAUGUAAGUUAAGUGGUAAAGGAUGUGGGAUUGCACAGACAACCAGGAUGUUGGCUUAGAAGCAGCCACUCAUUCAAAGAGUGCGUAAUAGCUCACUGGUCGAGUGAUCCUGCGCCGAAGAUUUCCGGGGCUAAAACUUACUACCGAAGCUACGGCAUCAGUAAUGAUGGGUAGGGGAGCUUCCCAUACGGGUUGAAGCAUGACCGUAAGGACAUGUGGACAGUAUGGGAGUGAGAAUGUUGGCAUGAGUAGCGAGAUGUGGGUGAGAAUCCCACAGGCCGUAAACCCAAGGUUUCCAGGGGAAGGUUCGUCCGCCCUGGGUUAGUCGGGACCUAAGCUGAGGCCGAAAGGCGUAGGUGAUGGACAACAGGUUGAUAUUCCUGUACUACCGAUAACCGUUUGAGAGAAGGGAUGACACAGUAGGAUAAGCUAAGCACACUGUUGGUUAUGUGUGCCCAAGCAUUGAGGCAGUCAAAGUAGGCAAAUCCGCUUUGAUAAUGCUGGGAUGUGAUGGGGAGCGAAAUUUAGUAGCGAAGUAGCUGAUUUCACACUGUCAAGAAAAGUCUCUAUCGAGGUUAAAGGUACCCGUACCGCAAACCGACACAGGUGGGUGAGGAGAGUAUCCUAAGGCCAGCGAGAGAACUGUUGUUAAGGAACUCGGCAAAAUGACCCCGUAACUUAGGGAUAAGGGGUGCCACCAUCAGGUGGCCGCAGAGAAUAGGCCCAAGCGACUGUUUACCAAAAACAUAGGUUUCUGCUAAGUCGCAAGACGAUGUAUAGGAGCUGACGCCUGCCCGGUGCUGGAAGGUUAAGGGGAUCUGUUAGAGCAAUCGAAGCAGUGAACUUAAGCCCCAGUAAACGGCGGCCGUAACUAUAACGGUCCUAAGGUAGCGAAAUUCCUUGUCGGGUAAGUUCCGACCCGCACGAAAGGCGUAACGAUUUGGGCACUGUCUCAACAACAGACUCGGUGAAAUUGUAAUUCCGGUGAAGAUGCCGGAUACCUGCGACAGGACGGAAAGACCCCAUGGAGCUUUACUGUAGCUUGACAUUGGGUCUUGGUACUACAUGUACAGGAUAGGUGGGAGGCUUUGAAACCAGGACGCCAGUUUUGGCGGAGCCAUCCUUGGGAUACCACCCUUGUAGUACUGGGACUCUAACCAUAGGCCAUGAAUCUGGUCUUGGGACACUGUCAGGUGGGCAGUUUGACUGGGGCGGUCGCCUCCCAAAAGGUAACGGAGGCGCUCAAAGGUUCUCUCAGUACGGUCGGAAAUCGUACGUAGAGUGUAAAGGCAAAAGAGAGCUUGAUUGCAAGACAUACAGGUCGAGCAAGGAUGAAAAUCGGACUUAGUGAUCCGGUGGUUCUGCGUGGAAGGGCCAUCGCUCAACGGAUAAAAGCUACCCUGGGGAUAACAGGCUUAUCUCCCCCAAGAGUCCACAUCGACGGGGAGGUUUGGCACCUCGAUGUCGGCUCAUCACAUCCUGGGGCUGUAGUAGGUCCCAAGGGUUGGGCUGUUCGCCCAUUAAAGUGGUACGCGAGCUGGGUUCAGAACGUCGUGAGACAGUUCGGUCCCUAUCCGUCGCAGGCGUAGGAAAUUUGAGAAGACCUGUCCUUAGUACGAGAGGACCGGGAUGGACGUACCUCUGGUGUACCAGUUGUUCUGCCAAGGGCAUGGCUGGGUAGCUAUGUACGGAAUGGAUAAGCGCUGAAAGCAUCUAAGCGCGAAGCCAACUUCAAGAUAAGAUUUCCCACCGCAAGGGUAAGACCCCAGAAAGACUAUCUGGUUGAUAGGUCGAAGGUGUAAGUGCAGCAAUGUAUUUAGCUUAUCGAUACUAAUAGGUCGAGGACUUGACCAA
rnacentral:rRNA from 5 species